rnacentral:piRNA from 1 species
UAACUCCCUAGACCUUAAAUACCACGCGUA